rnacentral:rRNA from 1 species
CCCGGGCCUUGUACACACCGCCCGUCAAGUCAUGAAAGUCGGUAACACCCGAAGCCAGUGGCCGAACCCGUAAGGGACGGAGCUGUCGAAGGUGGGAUCGGUGAUUAGGACU